rnacentral:lncRNA from 1 species
GUCUAGUAGAGAACUCUGGGCUGCAGACACACACUGGAGAAUCCAUGGUGUAAAGAUGCUGUUUAAAGUUAUGGAUACGGAUGAGAUUACCCAGGAGUGUGGUGAGGUGAGGGAAGAAAGGAAGAGAAAAGGAUCCGGGAAAGACCUAAAGAACCUCAACCUUUUACAUUUGGAUAAGGAAUGAGAAGGUGGCAAAAAAACAAAAAAAGGCUAUGAAAAUAGUCCAGUGUGUUCAGGAAAAUGUGGAGCCGAGGUUGCCAGCAGAGGAGUUUGUCAAGAGAAGGGACUAGUAAAUUCUACCACAUGCUGAUGAGAAUGAGGGAAAUGAGGACAGAGAAGCAUUGAUUGUUUAUCUACACGGAAGUUACUGAAAAACAUACAAAAGAUUUUUAGGGAGCAAUAGCAGAAUACGGAUGGGAGCGGGUGAAGAGUUCGUGAGAGGCGAGGAGACAACGCACGUGAUGACACACGGAAGCUGAGGACGGGAGACGUGCAGAUGCAAUGAGGGCUUUUUCAACACAGGAGUGUGAAAGAUGAACUGAGGUCUGUUAAAGAAUUUUAAGAGUUUAUUUGAGCAAAAAAUCGAUUCGAAUGGGGCAUCAGCAAACCAGAAGUGGUUAGGAGCACUCCCCAGGCAAGAGCUGGGAGAGACUUUUCUAGAGAAGAGGGGAAGCAAAGUAGGGAAAUUAUUCGAUUGGUUGUAGCUUAAGGGGUUGCCUUUUUUGGAAAAGCUUGGUUGGCUGUUUGUGCUGGGUUGUCCGCAGGUUUUGAUGUCUUCACCUUGAGGCAUUUACAGGCUUAAGUUUGGGUUUGUCUACACUGGCUGCUAAGGUAUUGGAACCACAUCAGUCUAAUGGCCUCCUUGUUUAAUGAUUUUAAGAAGAGAUGUGAAAGCCUGUCAGUGUGCUGAUAGAAAUGAUCCAGUACAAAGGAGCAUCGUGGCUUGCAGAUAAUAUUGCAAGGAGAAGACUGUGUGAAUUCCCAGAGAAAUUGAGGGAAAAUGCAGUCCAUAACCCAAUUCAUGUCAGAGGGGCACCGUCUUCAUUAUGAGGGGAAGAAGUAGAAAACAGGUGCCAAGGGAAGUUGGUUUGUCAAUUUGAUAAUGGGAAGGAAGAUGAAGAAAUUGGCUGAUGAAAAAGCAAGCCCAAGUCGGAACCCGGGUCUGUCCCCAUCAAAGCAGUGUGGCCACUGAUGAAACAGCCUCUUUCAAGCAGCCUUCAGUUGCUGAGCAGGGUCUCUGCUGAACCUGGAGAAUCACUUCUACUCUGUGGCUGUAGUGUGCGACUCCUGGCGACCCUGUGCACAGCAGAGCGGAACCCUGCCCGGUCUUUCUGCACCAUCGUCUCCCCUUCCGGAGCUGUGCAGACAACAUCCACUGCUAUUCACAGGGUUUUCAUGGCCAAUUUUUCAGAAGUGGGUGGCCAGGUCCUUCUUCUCAGUCUACCUUAGUCUGGAAGCUCCGUGGAAACCUGUCCACCAUGGAUGGCCCUGCUGGUAUUUGAAAUCCUGGUGGCACAGCUUUCAGCAUCACAGCCACAUGCAGCCACCACAGGAUGACAAUGACAGAUGGGUGGUGUGGGUCCCUGACCAGGAAGUGAACCCAGGCCGUGGCGGUAAGAGCACCGGAUCUUAACCACUAGACCACGGGGCUGGCUACCACUAUUUUCCCAGAGCAAAAAUGGCCACAACUUUGCCCCAGCAUCGCAAGGGACAUCCUGCUGUCCUUCCCUCCUAACAAGAUCAGGACUCAGCUAUUUCAGCAAAAGGCAGAUCUAGAAGACAGCUUUCCUCAUUCUGAGAAAAAGGCAGAUUCCUCGUCUACCGUAGGUCAAGAGAUUCAAAAAGAUGAAGCCACCCACAAGCCUGUGAACCCGUUUAGGGUAAAGACGAUGUGCAAAGCAUCUGGGCAGCCCCAGAAUCGAGCAGCAGGCUGGCAAACAUUCAUUCAGGGUCGACUCGCACAAAACGGCCCCAGCUUCUCUAAUGGAGCUGCAGUUGACAAAACCCACGCUUCGCAGGCUGCUGAGUGAAAUGCUUAGGAAAGCAAAAUUGGAAGAUGCUGCGCUACUCAAACCGUGAAUGUAUUUUCCACAAUGAUAGCCCAUAUCUGCCCUUAUUCGAUGGAACCAGGCUGUGUUCUUCACACCAUAAGUGUCAUCUUCACAAUAUCUCUACUCAAGAGGCUCAGAAACUCCUCGGCUCGCCAGUGCAUGACGUUCCCAGAGGCUGUUCUAAGUGUAUUUGUGCUAAAGUACAAAAUGACUGUUCGAGCCAUCACUCCUAUCUGGCGUUCUCUGCCCCAAGAGGCCAUUCUGUAUGGACCACAUCCACAGGCUUUCUUGGUUGCUGGCUUUGAUGUGCUUUUGACCAGGGAGGAGCCCAGCAGUUAUCAGAGAGAGAAGAGUGCACUGUGGGCAUUUCUCCCAUCUCCCAUCCUGCAGUGUCACUUCAGGAGGGCCCUGCCUCGCCACCCAAGAAAACACUUCCUCAGAAGGAAACAGAUCCUCAAAAGAAGAUUCUGGGAUCAAUUU